UACGGGGGGGGCAAGCGUUGUUCGGAGUUACUGGGCGUAAAGGGCUCGUAGGCGGCCAACUAAGUCGGAUGUGAAAUCCCCAGGCUUAACCUGGGAACUGCAUCCGAUACUGGAUGGCUUGAAUCCGGGAGAGGGAUGCAGAAUUCCAGGUGUAGCGGUGAAAUGCGUAGAUAUCUGGAGGAAUACCGGUGGCGAAGGCGGCAUCCUGGACCGGCAUUGACGCUGAGGAGCGAAAGCUAGGGGAGCAAACGGG
rnacentral:rRNA from 1 species